CAGGAAGCGAUUCGUGCUCCUCAUUCUAAAAUGGUGUAAAUAGGGUGUAUAAUGGUGGGGGUUGGUGCCAAAGGAAUUCACACUGCCAAUGUACAGUACGGUGUCUCUGGCCACUCUAUAAGGAGUUACGGUUGGACAACAAAACUAUGAGCAAGAUAAUCGCCAACAUGAAAAAAAUAAAAUAAAAGUAUCAAAGAGAUCCAGACAUGGCUCAAGGAAAGUGGCAUUAUAGUCACUUUACAAACUGCGCUAUCAUGCUUUCGAGAGAACAACAUCCAGAUUAGUAUUUCCUACAAAAUGCACAUGGAGGGGGAGCACACCAGAACAGAGCCACCAGAAGAGCUGCAGCGGGUGCCCCGUGCAAAGGCACGCCUUGCCCGCCGCAAGAAAUGGCUCUGCCUGGACAUAUCAAUCACCAGCAUUAGAAGGAUGCGCCGGAAAAUGGGAUGGACUUUUGGUGCUACAAGGAUAUCUCCCAUGAUAAGAGAUGCAAAUAAAAAAAAGAGAGUUGAACAGGCACGGCGAUGGACUGAGAGUGGUGAAACAUUUCACAAUGGCAUUUUCACAGAUGAAUCGUCUGUUGCUCUUGAGAGGUUCUCCCAAAUGUCAAUCCGGAAACGUCACCAUAUCUCAUUAAAGUCACGCCCAAAGCAUCCAUUGAAGGUCCAUGUAUGGGGAGCCAU